GACGAACGCUGGCGGCGUGCUUAACACAUGCAAGUCGAACGAAGAGCGAUGGAAGCUUGCUUCUAUCAAUCUUAGUGGCGAACGGGUGAGUAACGCGUAAUCAACCUGCCCUUCAGAGGGGGACAACAGUUGGAAACGACUGCUAAUACCGCAUACGAUCUAAUCUCGGCAUCGAGGAUAGAUGAAAGGUGGCCUCUACAGGUAAGCUAUCACUGAAGGAGGGGAUUGCGUCUGAUUAGCUAGUUGGAGGGGUAACGGCCCACCAAGGCGAGGAUCAGUAGUCGGUCUGAGAGGAUGAGCGGCCAGAUUGGGACUGAGACACGGCCCAUACUCAUACGGGAGGCAGCAGUGGUGCAUCUUGCGCAAUGGACGAAAGUCUGAGGGAGAAACGCCGCGGGAGGGAGGACGGCCGUCGGGUUGUAAAGCUCUGUUAAUCGGGAGGAAAGGCCUUCUUGCGAAUAGGGAGAAGGAUUGACGGUACCGGAAUAGAAAGCCACGGCUAACUACGUG
rnacentral:rRNA from 1 species